AACUUUUAGAGGAAAAACUGAUGAGUUGAGAAGAUGCUUUUGGUAGAUUUAUCUGGAAGUCCAUGUGUGGGGAAAUAAGGAUGAGAAGGAAAAUUCUCAAAUUUAAGAGUACAUAUUCUCAUUUCUCCUCAUUUUUUCCCCUCUUUAGGUGGAGUUGGGGGCUGGAAAAARAACAUUUAGAAGAAAAGGGAAACACUCAUUAUGAGAUUGACUGGGCACAUUUUGAUUAUAGAGGAUUGAAAUCUGUACCAACCAACAUCAUACUGAAACCUGGUAAUACAGACUAUGUGGCUGGCAAGCUGCCAUCAGGAGGAUUCCUAAGACUAGCAGUGCCUCCAAUGGCUUCUCUGACCUGUUUUUGGUAACUAAGAAAGAAGUUGAUGUUUGAAGAUAUAAAGUGCAUUAUGCCCGAUGGAGAGCCUGGGUGAAUUCUUUGGCUCAGAUUUUAGUCACCUGUGUAAUGAGAAGUUUGGACCAGUAGUUCCCUCAUGCCUUGAAGAUCUGAUUCUUUUGGUCCAGCUGUGUGCUUCAUGCCAGGAGAAAGCAGAAAAAUGGAGAGGUCCCAGAUGCUGUUCUGUGAUCUGCUGGUAAAAUGUAGCUGUGGUCCCUGUGGAUCUAGCAGUGAGAUCAGUGAGCCUGAAGCAAGCAACAGGGAGCAGGUGAAGGUUGGGUAGAAGGUAAGAACCUGCAAAAAUUGC
rnacentral:lncRNA from 1 species